GUCUUAUGUGGAUAGAAAUUUCUUUCGUUUGAAAGUUAUCAAUGCGGGUAUAUCAAUUCCCUUGUAACACAAUUGGUAAAGAAUCUGCCUGCAAUGCAGGAGACUUGGGUUUGAUUCCUGGGUUGGGAAGAUCCCUUGGAGAAGGAAAUGGCAACCCACUCCAGUAUUCUUGCCUAGAGAAUCCCCAUGGAGAGAGGAGCCUGGCAGACUACAGUCCAUGGGGUCGCAAGAGUUGGGCACGACUUAGCAACUAAACCACCACCACCAGUGCAGGUUCCUGGGGUGAUGCUGAUGUGAAAUCAGGUUUGGGAAAUACUGCAUUGGAAUCUGAGAAGGAUGAAGAUGAAGAAACUGGAGGCCCAGAGAGGGGAAUGACUGCAGCUGGGAGGGCUGGUAUAACACCUUCUAUAAUGCUCAGAUCAUACUUUUUACUUUUCCAGUUUCAGCAGCACCAAUCUUGACACCGCCAAAGUAACAAGUAAUCACCUCAAACAAAUGCUCAGCAAUUCAGGGGGAUUCAUUUAACUCAAGCGUUUACUCAAAGAUUAUAUGCUUUUGCGUUGUAGACUCUCCAUCACAAUUCAGAGUGCUUAUCAUGUGUCUGAGAGACUGGUAAAGGCCGAGGAUACUGAAAUAACCAUGAAAUAACUGAAAUAACUUGGCUUUCUGAAGGUCACUGUCUAAUGCAGAAAGUCAGGGCAGAGGAAAAACAAAACAUGAAGACACUGAAAAACGGGAGCCCUUCACCUAGACCCUUACAGACAGUGUAUAGUGCAGCACCACGGAUUUAUGGAAGAAAAUGCAGUCGGCUCUAAGUCUGAUACAUUUCUUUCUUCCCCUUACAAUCUUCAACUCUUCUGAGCCCUCUGAUUCUGUGUGUGCGUGUGUGUACGUGUGUGAUUCCAGCACAAUGCAGAACACAGUGAGGCCGCAGUGAAACAAGUCAAUACUUUCAAAGCCCACUUUAUCUACAAGGACAAGUUUCAUUUUCUUUUCCCUUUUUACAUGAGUAAAUGCUAUAGUCACCAUAGGUGGAAAAAAGGUCCCCUCUCAUCGAACCGGGCCCAGCACCCGAGCCUUCCUGUAGAGCUCGCGCCAGUGGGGGAAUCCGCAGAGAGCUAGCGGGCCGCGGCGCCCAGCCGCAUCCCGGGCGCGAGGAGCCAGGAG
ensembl:lncRNA